UCACAUUUUUCCGUUCGGCGCUCUCAGAUCCAAAUUCCCCAAACCUAAUCCUCCCACGCACUCCCUCCGCCGCCGGCGCACCAAAUUCCCCAAACCUUAUCCUCUCACUCGCUGCCUCCGCCGCCGGCCAAUAGCCAUCUAGCAGCCCGCACGCCGUCACUGCGGCAGCGAGGUUGCAGCCCUGUCCCCAUCAUCCUCCCGCACCCACACCGCUAGCCCCCAAACAUUUCUAACCCUAGCUUGCGCCCGGUCACCUUCAUCCACCAAGGCCUGGUGGUGGACGCCGUCGUUCAUCUCAGAUCCAGGGGUGAGAGAGACGUGGGUCACCUGGGAGACAGAGCACUCACACCCUCGCUCGUCACCCAGGCGCCGCACCGCCGCCGCCACGCCAUGGGCCUCCUCCGAUCUGCAGUCGCCGGUUCGUUUGAAGGAGGAUCUGGCCGUUGACUGCUGGUGCUUCCCCUCCCCGGGGGUGAGUGUUCUUUUCCCUCUCCUCUCCCUCUCCCCACCUCCCCAAUCAGUGCUGCCGUUAGUUGAUUUGUUUGUCGGGAGCUUGAGCUUGAGCAGAAUGUUAAGAACAGGGGCUCUAUCUGCUAAUGGGUUAGCCCGAAAUGCAGUGUAAGAGCUGGCUACUGCUCGUGUGAUCUCUGGAGAUGAGAGGAUGAGAACUUGAGAGGAACAAGCUUGGUGCUAUGAUUGCAAAAAAAAAAUACUACAGGUGAGAGUUGAGACACACCAUACACAAGCCCUGCAAGCGGGCAGAAAUAGACCUCUUCGUUGACGACUUCUACAAGGAUGAUAUUGACCUAGAGGCUGGAGCUUUGCUACUCUUUCCGGCCAACAAGGUAUCGUUUACUUUUUUCUCUCCCCACAUCCAAUUCUUCCCUGUUCCUAUGCCUCAUGCGUAUUUCUUGCUGUAGGGCAACACACUGCAAGUGUUUGUUAAAUUGUUAGUCUCAGUGCUCCAAUUCUAGCAGAAGGAUUUUUGGUAGGAAGACAUAGCAUCACUCACGGUUGUAUAGAUUUACUGUUGUAUUUCUAUAUUUUUGCAAAAUUAGUUCUGUAAAACUUGCAGAUUAGUUCAGUUCUUAAGUGGUUUUACAGCUGGGCUUUUAUUAACUUACAAGUCUUUCCUCUGUAAUUUCGUGUUCUGUAGAACUUAGUACAAUUUUUGUGGAAUCAAGAUAAAAUACAUAUCUAGCAGUUUGUAUUUGUACAGUCAUGCUUCUAUAAAUUUUAUAGUUGUAUUUUCUCCAUAAAUUUGCUUCGAUAGUUCUGUAGCUUCCAGAGUAGUUGAGAUGUUAAGUGGUUUUACUCCUAGGCUUGUAUACGUCUGCAACCUUUUUUUAUCUGUAAUUUUGGAACAUUUGUUCUGUAAAACUUCAGUUCAGUUUCUGGAAAACAAGAUUAAAUACGUAUCUGUAAAACUUCAGUUCAGUUUCUGGAAACAAGAUUAAAUAUGUAUCUUAUCAGUUUCUAAGUUGCAGGCAUGUUCUACACAUUUUACAGUUGUACUUUGAAUUUGCUUCAGUAGUUCUGUAAAACAUUCAGAAUAGUUCACUUUUGGAAUGAAGAGUUAAUAUGUAUUAAGUGGUUUUGUAAUUUAUCCUUUUCGCUUUUAUAGAUUUCCAGCUGUAUUUUGUUUGUAAUUUUUCUUCAGUAGUUCUGGAAUGAAGUAAUUAAGCUGCUGUUCUAAUUUAUUCUCAGUCUUUUUCUAUAGAUAUUACAGUUGCAUUUUUCUGUAAUUUACAUUUAGACUGAAUUAAGUUGUAUCGGUUUGCAUAUAUAUACUGUUCCGUUGGGUAUAGAUUACUUUUUAAUCUAAUUUUUAGCUUUUUGUAUAUAUGAAUGUUUUCUAUAUAAUACUUAAGUGGUCUUCUGAAUUAUGCAUUAUUUGCUUUCAUAUACUACUGAAAUGAGUUCUGGUUCCAGAUGUGAAGAGAAGAACAAGGGAUCGAACAUAUGUGAAAAUGAUGAAGUGAUUCUGUGAGGAACUUACCAGGUUUUCUCCAUGUUCAGGUGCAAAGGGGCCUCAAGUGCAACGUUCAGGAAGCAAACAGAAGGACUGCACUCACAAUGGACCAUGAAGCUAGUGAUCCACGUCAACUGGAUAUUUUAGCUUUCAUUUUGUACAACUAAGUCUUAUUUUAGAACCUUUUGUGAACAUUAUGUAUGUUGUCUUGGUGGCUAUGUUUAGAACAGAUUGAAGUAUAUGUAUCUGACAACUUUUUAAUGGAAUAAAAAAAUGUUUGGUGUACC